UACGUAGGGUGCGAGCGUUAAUCGGAAUUACCGGGCGUAAAGCGUGCGUAGGCGGUUCUCCAAGUCCGUUGUGAAAGCCCCGGGCUCAACCUGGGAAUGGCAGUGGAAACUAGGGGACUGGAAUCUGGCAGAGGGGGGUGGAAUGCCGCGUGUAGCAGUGAAAUGCGUAGAGAUGCGGCGGAACACCGAUGGCGAAGGCAGCCCCCUGGGCUGAGAUUGACGCUCAGGCACGAAAGCGUGGGGAGCAAACAGG
rnacentral:rRNA from 1 species